UACGGAGGGUGCAAGCGUUGUCCGGAAUCACUGGGCGUAAAGGGCGCGUAGGCGGCUCGGUAAGUAGGGGGUGAAAUCCUGCGGCUCAACCGCAGGGCUGCCUUCUAAACUGUCGAGCUCGAGCACGGUAGAGGCAGAUGGAAUUCCUGGUGUAGCGGUGAAAUGCGCAGAUAUCAGGAGGAACACCGGUGGCGAAGGCGGCUUGCUGGGCCUUACCUGACGCUGAGGAGCGAAAGCGUGGGGAGCGAACAGG
rnacentral:rRNA from 1 species